GGUUAAGCGACUAAGCGUACACGGUGGAUGCCCUGGCAGUCAGAGGCGAUGAAGGACGUGCUAAUCUGCGAUAAGCGUCGGUGAGGUGAUAUGAACCGUUAUAACCGGCGAUUUCCGAAUGGGGAAACCCAGUGUGUUUCGACACACUAUCAUUAACUGAAUCCAUAGGUUAAUGAGGCGAACCGGGGGAACUGAAACAUCUAAGUACCCCGAGGAAAAGAAAUCAACCGAGAUUCCCCCAGUAGCGGCGAGCGAACGGGGAGGAGCCCAGAGCCUGAAUCAGUGUGUGUGUUAGUGGAAGCGUCUGGAAAGGCGCGCGAUACAGGGUGACAGCCCCGUACACAAAAAUGCACAUGCUGUGAGCUCGAUGAGUAGGGCGGGACACGUGGUAUCCUGUCUGAAUAUGGGGGGACCAUCCUCCAAGGCUAAAUACUCCUGACUGACCGAUAGUGAACCAGUACCGUGAGGGAAAGGCGAAAAGAACCCCGGCGAGGGGAGUGAAAAAGAACCUGAAACCGUGUACGUACAAGCAGUGGGAGCCUCUUAAUGGGGUGACUGCGUACCUUUUGUAUAAUGGGUCAGCGACUUAUAUUCUGUAGCAAGGUUAACCGAAUAGGGGAGCCGAAGGGAAACCGAGUCUUAACUGGGCGUUAAGUUGCAGGGUAUAGACCCGAAACCCGGUGAUCUAGCCAUGGGCAGGUUGAAGGUUGGGUAACACUAACUGGAGGACCGAACCGACUAAUGUUGAAAAAUUAGCGGAUGACUUGUGGCUGGGGGUGAAAGGCCAAUCAAACCGGGAGAUAGCUGGUUCUCCCCGAAAGCUAUUUAGGUAGCGCCUCGUGAAUUCAUCUCCGGGGGUAGAGCACUGUUUCGGCAAGGGGGUCAUCCCGACUUACCAACCCGAUGCAAACUGCGAAUACCGGAGAAUGUUAUCACGGGAGACACACGGCGGGUGCUAACGUCCGUCGUGAAGAGGGAAACAACCCAGACCGCCAGCUAAGGUCCCAAAGUCAUGGUUAAGUGGGAAACGAUGUGGGAAGGCCCAGACAGCCAGGAUGUUGGCUUAGAAGCAGCCAUCAUUUAAAGAAAGCGUAAUAGCUCACUGGUCGAGUCGGCCUGCGCGGAAGAUGUAACGGGGCUAAACCAUGCACCGAAGCUGCGGCAGCGACGCUUAUGCGUUGUUGGGUAGGGGAGCGUUCUGUAAGCCUGUGAAGGUGGCCUGUGAGGGUUGCUGGAGGUAUCAGAAGUGCGAAUGCUGACAUAAGUAACGAUAAAGCGGGUGAAAAGCCCGCUCGCCGGAAGACCAAGGGUUCCUGUCCAACGUUAAUCGGGGCAGGGUGAGUCGACCCCUAAGGCGAGGCCGAAAGGCGUAGUCGAUGGGAAACAGGUUAAUAUUCCUGUACUUGGUGUUACUGCGAAGGGGGGACGGAGAAGGCUAUGUUGGCCGGGCGACGGUUGUCCCGGUUUAAGCGUGUAGGCUGGUUUUCCAGGCAAAUCCGGAAAAUCAAGGCUGAGGCGUGAUGACGAGGCACUACGGUGCUGAAGCGACAAAUGCCCUGCUUCCAGGAAAAGCCUCUAAGCAUCAGGUAACAUCAAAUCGUACCCCAAACCGACACAGGUGGUCAGGUAGAGAAUACCAAGGCGCUUGAGAGAACUCGGGUGAAGGAACUAGGCAAAAUGGUGCCGUAACUUCGGGAGAAGGCACGCUGAUAUGUAGGUGAAGCGACUUGCUCGUGGAGCUGAAAUCAGUCGAAGAUACCAGCUGGCUGCAACUGUUUAUUAAAAACACAGCACUGUGCAAACACGAAAGUGGACGUAUACGGUGUGACGCCUGCCCGGUGCCGGAAGGUUAAUUGAUGGGGUUAGCGGCAACGCGAAGCUCUUGAUCGAAGCCCCGGUAAACGGCGGCCGUAACUAUAACGGUCCUAAGGUAGCGAAAUUCCUUGUCGGGUAAGUUCCGACCUGCACGAAUGGCGUAAUGAUGGCCAGGCUGUCUCCACCCGAGACUCAGUGAAAUUGAACUCGCUGUGAAGAUGCAGUGUACCCGCGGCAAGACGGAAAGACCCCGUGAACCUUUACUAUAGCUUGACACUGAACAUUGAGCCUUGAUGUGUAGGAUAGGUGGGAGGCUUUGAAGUGUGGACGCCAGUCUGCAUGGAGCCGACCUUGAAAUACCACCCUUUAAUGUUUGAUGUUCUAACGUUGGCCCGUAAUCCGGGUUGCGGACAGUGUCUGGUGGGUAGUUUGACUGGGGCGGUCUCCUCCUAAAGAGUAACGGAGGAGCACGAAGGUUGGCUAAUCCUGGUCGGACAUCAGGAGGUUAGUGCAAUGGCAUAAGCCAGCUUGACUGCGAGCGUGACGGCGCGAGCAGGUGCGAAAGCAGGUCAUAGUGAUCCGGUGGUUCUGAAUGGAAGGGCCAUCGCUCAACGGAUAAAAGGUACUCCGGGGAUAACAGGCUGAUACCGCCCAAGAGUUCAUAUCGACGGCGGUGUUUGGCACCUCGAUGUCGGCUCAUCACAUCCUGGGGCUGAAGUAGGUCCCAAGGGUAUGGCUGUUCGCCAUUUAAAGUGGUACGCGAGCUGGGUUUAGAACGUCGUGAGACAGUUCGGUCCCUAUCUGCCGUGGGCGCUGGAGAACUGAGGGGGGCUGCUCCUAGUACGAGAGGACCGGAGUGGACGCAUCACUGGUGUUCGGGUUGUCAUGCCAAUGGCACUGCCCGGUAGCUAAAUGCGGAAGAGAUAAGUGCUGAAAGCAUCUAAGCACGAAACUUGCCCCGAGAUGAGUUCUCCCUGAGACUUAGAGUCUCCUGAAGGAACGUUGAAGACGACGACGUUGAUAGGCCGGGUGUGUAAGCGCAGCGAUGCGUUGAGCUAACCGGUACUAAUGAACCGUGAGGCUUAACCUU
rnacentral:rRNA from 1 species